rnacentral:rRNA from 2 species
ACGGGGUGCAGCAGGCGCGAAACCUUUGCAAUGUGUGAAAGCACGACAAGGUUAAUCCGAGUGUCUCCUGCUAAAGGAGUCUUUUGUCAGUUGUAGAAUCACUGAUGAAUAAGGGGUGGGCAAGUUCUGGUGUCAGCCGCCGCGGUAAAACCAGCACCUCGAGUGGUCAGGAGGUUUAUUGGGCCUAAAGCAUCCGUAGCCGGUUGCAUAAGUUUUCGGUUAAAUCUAUGCGCUCAACGUAUAGGCCGCCGAAAAUACUGUGCAGCUAGGGAGUGGGAGAGGUACACGGUACUCAAUAGGAAGGGGUAAAAUCCUUUGAUCUAUUGAUGACCACCUGUGGCGAAGGCGGUGUACCAGAACACGUUCGACGGUGAGGGAUGAAAGCUGGGGGAGCAAACCGGAUUAGAUACCCGGGUAGUCCCAGCUGUAAACGAUGCAGACUCGGUGAUGCAUUGGCUUGUGGCCAAUGCAGUGCCGCAGGGAAGCCGUUAAGUCUGCCGCCUGGGAAGUACGUACGCAAGUAUGAAACUUAAAGGAAUUGGCGGGGGAGCAC